UACGAAGGGGGCUAGCGUUGCUCGGAAUCACUGGGCGUAAAGGGUGCGUAGGCGGGUCUUUAAGUCCGGGGUGAAAUCCUGGAGCUCAACUCCAGAACUGCCUUUGAUACUGAAGAUCUUGAGUCCGGGAGAGGUGAGUGCAACUGCGAGUGUAGAGGUGAAAUUCGUAGAUAUUCGCAAGAACACCAGUGGCGAAGGCGGCUCACUGGCCCGGUACUGACGCUGAGGCACGAAAGCGUGGGGAGCAAACAGG
rnacentral:rRNA from 1 species